rnacentral:rRNA from 1 species
AGUGAACGCUGGCGGUAGGCCUAACACAUGCAAGUCGAACGGCAGCACAGUAAGAGCUUGCUCUUACGGGUGGCGAGUGGCGGACGGGUGAGGAAUACAUCGGAAUCUACUUUUUCGUGGGGGAUAACGUAGGGAAACUUACGCUAAUACCGCAUACGACCUACGGGUGAAAGCAGGGGAUCUUCGGACCUUGCGCGAUUGAAUGAGCCGAUGUCGGAUUAGCUAGUUGGCGGGGUAAAGGCCCACCAAGGCGACGAUCCGUAGCUGGUCUGAGAGAAUGAUCAGCCACACUGGAAGAGAGACACGGUCCAGACUCCUACAGGAGGAAGCAGUGGGGAAUAUUGGACAAUGGGCGCAAGCCUGAUCCAGCCAUACCGCGUGGGUGAAGAAGGCCUUCGGGUUGUAAAGCCCUUUUGUUGGGAAAGAAAAGCAGCAGGUUAAUACCCCGCUGUUCUGACGGUACCCAAAGAAUAAGCACCGGCUAACUUCGUG